UGCCCAGAAGGUGGAAUCUAACCACUCCGCUUUUAAACGGCUACAAGUUUGAAGCCUGUGCACCCCGGACCUCCGAAGUUAUCUGGGC